UCGAGGAUCUUCGGCAAUGGGCGCAAGCCUGACCGAGCGACGCCGCGUGUGCGAAGAAGGCCUUCGGGUUGUAAAGCACUGUCGAGGGGGAGAAAGCCGCAAGGUUGAUCGACCCCUGGAGGAAGCACGGGCUAAGUUCGUGCCAGCAGCCGCGGUAAGACGAACCGUGCGAACGUUGUUCGGAUUCACUGGGCUUAAAGGGCGCGUAGGCGGGUCAUCAAGUCGGUGGUGAAAUCUUUCGGCUCAACCGGAAGACGGCCUCCGAUACUGGUGGUCUCGAGGGGGGUAGGGGCAUGCGGAACUUCGGGUGGAGCGGUGAAAUGCGUAGAUAUCCGAAGGAACGCCGGUGGCGAAAGCGGCGUGCUGGACCCUUUCUGACGCUGAGGCGCGAAAGCCAGGGGAGCAAACGGGAUUAGAUACCCCUGUAGUCC
rnacentral:rRNA from 1 species